GACGAAGGGGGCUAGCGUUGUUCGGAAUUACUGGGCGUAAAGCGCGUGUAGGCGGUUGUUCAAGUCAGGUGUGAAAGCCUUGAGCUCAACUCAAGAAAUGCACUUGAUACUGGAUGGCUUGAGUUUGGGAGAGGGAUGCGGAAUUCCAGGUGUAGCGGUGAAAUGCGUAGAUAUCUGGAGGAACACCGGUGGCGAAGGCGGCAUCCUGGAC
rnacentral:rRNA from 1 species